rnacentral:rRNA from 1 species
UACAGAGGUCCCAAGCGUUGUUCGGAUUCACUGGGCGUAAAGGGUGCGUAGUGGUCGGGUAAGUCUGAUGUGAAAUCCUCCGAGCUUAACUCGGAAAUGGCAUGGAUACUAAUUCGGCUAGAGGGUUUGAGGGGGGACUGGAAUACUUGGUGUAGCAGUGAAAUGCGUAGAUAUCAAGUGGAACACCAGUGGCGAAGGCGAGUCCCUUGGACAACUCCUGACACUGAGGCACGAAAGCUAGGGGAGCAAACAGG